CUGCCUGUCACAUUUAUUCCGAACCCCAGGGUAACUCAGUGCCACUGGCAUGAUGCGGUUCCCGGGGGUACUUCUCGUUUUCCUGGUUCCUGUCACUCAGGUAUCUUCCAACGUGGAAGGGGACAAGAUGUCAGUCACUAGGGCUCCUGGAACAGCUGUCUCAUUUACUUGUGCUCUUACACAAAACACCAAUUAUAUCCAUGUGUACACAAAAAAGGAGGGGACAGCCCCCCACGCCUUUUCUACUACGACAUCUACUACUCAAAAUUUACGUUGGAAUCAGGAGAUAGUCCAGAGAAAUAUCGUGUUUAUGCAGGCACAAGCAAGAGCUAUACAUUCACCAUGCUAUAUCUGGAAGAACGUGACUCCGGCACGUACUACUGUGCUCUCUGGGACAAGCACGUUGGUUACUGGAAGAAGAUAUUUGAAAAGGCACUGGAGCUCAUAGUAGCUCCCUAUGAUAUAAACCUUGCUUCAGACCUUUCCCCCAAGCCCACAGUGUUUCUUCCUUCGAUUGCUGAGAUAAAGCUCCAUAAUGCUGGAACAUACCUUUGUCUUCUGGAGAAUUUUUUCCUAAUGUUAUUAAGGUUUAUUGGAAAGAAAAGAAUGGCAACAAAGUCCUGGAAUCCCAGCAGGGAAAUACCAUGAGGACGACUAACACAUACAUGAAAUUCAGCUGGUUGACUGUGAGCAAAACAGCCAUGGAUAAAGAACACAAGUGUGUCGUCAAACACGAGAAAAAUAGAGGGGGAGUUGAUCAAGAGAUUAUUUUUCCUUCAGUGAAUGAAGUUGUCACUUCAGUUGUCACUACUACUGAGCCUCCAAAUGACUGUUUGAACGAUGGAAGCAAAGCCACUGGUAUUGAUUCUGAAAAAGCUUGUAAGAAAGAUCACAGUGAAGUCACUGUUACUGAUUCCAAAAAAGUUUGUCAGAAAGAUGAAAGCAAUUCACUGCAGCUGCAGCUUGAGAACACCUCUGCCUACUACACCUACCUCCUCCUCCUCCUCAAGAGUACCCUCUACUUUGCCAUCAUCACCUGCUGUCUGUUUAGGAGAACAGUCUGCAGCAGUGGGAAGACCUCCUGACAGAUGAUGCCACCAAGGGCUCAACUUCGCUUCAGCAUCAUUGUCUCUACAAGUGUCUGCUGAGGAUCUAGCUGGGCUUCCUUUCUGGGUUUGGCUUCUUUCAGAGAAUAUGUACAUCUUUGUAUUAUAUCAUUAUAGUGUAAGGAUUUUUCAAUCCAAUGGCCAAACAGACCCUUGCACUGCAUAACAAGGAAUUCUGCCAUGACUCAGGGCAGGGCUGAGGGCUGGUCCACGAGAGCCUUUCCCACCACUGUCCCUCAGUGUCAGCAGCUCCUCCAGCCACUAAAUCUUUCACCUCCUGAGCACACACAGCACAGCACACGGUUCCUCGUCUCCUCCCUCAGGGCUUCCACCAGACCACGGCCCUGAGCUUCCCUGUACACACCCUGGAGCCCAGCUUUGCUGCUUGAAUCUGUCCUUUGAUUUUUCAUGAUAGGCACAAUCAAUUAAAAAGAUAUCCAACCUCCA